UACGUAGGGGGCAAGCGUUGUCCGGAAUCAUUGGGCGUAAAGCGCGUGUAGGCGGUUCGGUAAGUCUGCUGUGAAAGUCCAGGGCUCAACCCUGGGAUGCCGGUGGAUACUGUCGGACUAGAGUACGGAAGAGGCGAGUGGAAUUUCCGGUGGAGCGGUGAAAUGCAUUGAGAUCGGAAAGAACACCAACGGCGAAAGCACUCUGCUGGGCCGACACUGACACUGAGAGACGAAAGCUAGGGGAGCAAAUGGG
rnacentral:rRNA from 1 species